AGAACGAACGCUGGCGGCAGGCUUAACACAUGCAAGUCGAACGCCCCGCAAGGGGAGUGGCAGACGGGUGAGUAACGCGUGGGAAUGUACCUUUCGGUUUGGAAUAACCCAGGGAAACUUGGGCUAAUACCAAAUACGCCGGAAACGGGAAAGAUUUAUCGCCGAAGGAUCGGCCCGCGUCGGAUUAGCUAGUUGGUGGGGUAAUGGCCUACCAAGGCAACGAUCCGUAGCUGGUCUGAGAGGAUGAUCAGCCACACUGGGACUGAGACACGGCCCAGACUCCUACGGGAGGCAGCAGUGGGGGAUAUUGGACAAUGGGCGCAAGCCUGAUCCAGCCAUGCCGCGUGAGUGAAGAAGGCCUUAGGGUGUAAAGCUCUUUCAGCGGGGACGAUAAUGACGGUACCCGCAGAAGAAGCCCCGGCUAACUUCGUGCCAGCAGCCGC
rnacentral:rRNA from 1 species